UUACCAAAAAUUAGGGUUUCCAUGUUCAUUAACAUUUACAAACAAUUCAUGGGUGCAAACAGUGAUUCUGGCCCAUUUUUAGCGAAAUCGAGUUAUUGGGCGAAAAACCCCUAAUGGCCCUACUUAGCCGAUUUUGUCAUCUAGGCCUAUUCAGCCUAUAUUCCAUAACGAUUUUAUCAGUCUCUAUGUGCAAUUUAACAAGUUUCCAUAUUCUACCAAUUUUACUCAAAUGGGCCCGAAUGCCCAUUGGGCCCUAUUUCAGCCCCUCGAGGCCCAACUUACCGUGAAAGCCAAAAAUCACGC
rnacentral:lncRNA from 1 species